rnacentral:tRNA from 1 species
GCCGGAGUGGUGAAAUUGGUAGACACGUCGGAUUCAAAAUCCGAUGCCCUUAAAAGCGUGCCGGUUCGAGUCCGGCCUCCGGUA